GACGUAGGGCGCGAGCGUUGUCCGGAUUUAUUGGGCGUAAAGAGCUCGUAGGCGGCUUGUCGCGUCGUUCGUGAAAACUUGGGGCUCAACCCCAAGCUUGCGGCCGAUACGGGCAGACUAGAAUUCGGUAGGGGAGACUGGAAUUCCUGGUGUAGCGGUGGAAUGCGCAGAUAUCAGGAGGAACACCAGUGGCGAAGGCGGGUCUCUGGACAGUUCCUGACGCUGAGGCACGAAGGCCAGGGGAGCAAACGGG
rnacentral:rRNA from 1 species